rnacentral:rRNA from 1 species
UGCCCAAGAGAUCGGGAUAACACCUGGAAACAGAUGCUAAUACCGGAUAACAACAGAUGAUGCCUAUCAACUGUUUAAAAGAUGGUUCUGCUAUCACUCUUGGAUGGACCUGCGGUGCAUUAGCUAGUUGGUAGGGUAACGGCCUACCAAGGCGAUGAUGCAUAGCCGAGUUGAGAGACUGAUCGGCAACAUUGGGACUGAGACACAGCCCAAACUCCUACGGGAGGCAGCAGCU